rnacentral:rRNA from 1 species
CGUCUUUUGCUAUUAUUACUAAUAAAAGAUACUGCCUGCCCUAUGAUUUUCUUUAAAUGGCCGCGUUAGCGUGAGCGUGCUAAGGUAGCGUAAUAAACAGCUCUCUAAUUAGGAGCCAGUGAAUGGCUAAACGGAGAAAAACUUUAUCAUCAAUGAGUAGAAAACUUUUCGUUUAAGUGAAAAGACUUAAAUUAAAGAAAAAGACAAAAAGACCCCGCGGAACUUCCUUAAAACCUUAUUACAUAGAUAAUAUUUUUGCUUAAGGCUAACUGGUUGGUUGGGGCAACCUUGGAGCAAAACAAACCUCCAUUCUCUAAAAAACUCCAUACAAAACUUCAUAUGGACCAUAUUUACAGUUACCCCGGGGAUAACAGCGUCAUUCAACUUAAGAGUACGAAUCAAAAGUUGGGUUUGCGACCUCGAUGUUGGCUUAGGGAAAGCAAUUUGGUGCAGCCGCUAAAUUUACAAUGCCAGUCUGUUCGACUGUUAAUCCCCU